rnacentral:rRNA from 1 species
UACGAAGGGGGCGAGCGUUGUUCGGAGUUACUGGGCGUAAAGGGCGCGUAGGCGGCGCACCAAGUCAGGCGUGAAAGCCCUGGGCUCAACCCGGGAAUUGCGCUUGAGACUGGUGUGCUUGAGUACGGGAGAGGAUAGUGGAAUUCCCAGUGUAGAGGUGAAAUUCGUAGAUAUUGGGAAGAACACCGGUGGCGAAGGCGGCUAUCUGGACCGUAACUGACGCUGAGGCGCGAAAGCGUGGGGAGCAAACAGG